rnacentral:rRNA from 1 species
UACGGAGGAUGCAAGCGUUAUCCGGAUUUAUUGGGUCUAAAGGGUGCGUACGCGGACUUUUAAGCGUGAGGUGAAAUGCCUUGGCUCAACCAUGGAACUGCCUCGCGAACUGGGAGUCUUGAAUGCCCCUGCCGUGGGAGGAACGUGUGGUGUAGCGGUGAAAUGCAUAGAGAUCACACAGAACACCGAUUGCGAAGGCAUCUCACGAAGGGGUGAUUGACGCUGAGGCACGAAAGCGUGGGGAUCAAAC